AAUACUUGUCCUAAAACGGUCAACAAUUUACUGAAAUAUAAGAUAUUUAACAUUUACAACUAAUAAGUGAAUUAUUAGUUGUAAAUGUUAAAUAUCUCAUAUUUCAGUAAAUUGUUGACCGUUUUAGGACAAGUAUU